AACGCGAAGAACCUUACCCGGGCUCAAACGACAGCGGACAGCUCCUGAAAGGGGGUCUCCGGCAACGGCCGCUGUCGAGGUGCUGCAUGGUUGUCGUCAGCUCGUGCCGUGAGGUGUCGGCUUAAGUGCCAUAACGAGCGCAACCCCCAUCUCCAGUUGCCACCGGGUCGUGCCGGGCACUCUGGAGGGACUGCCAGCGCAAGCUGCGAGGAAGGCGGGGAUGACGUCAAAUCAACACGGCCCUUACGUCCGGGGCUACACACGUGUUACAAUGGGGUAUACAGAAGGCAGCUGCCGUGCGAGCGGUGGCGAAUCGUUAAAGUGCCCCCCAGUUCGGAUUGGAGUCUGCAACCCGACUCCAUGAAGUUAGAAUCGCUAGUAAUCCUGAAUCAGAAUGUCAGGGUGAAUACGUUCCCGGGUCUUGUACACACGC
rnacentral:rRNA from 1 species